GGUGAAAGGGCCUCAACCGUGAAGUGGAAUCAGAUCUGCCCAAUGAAGCCCAGCCGGACAGAGCUGCUGGAGCACGAAGUACAAGAACUGCUGCCCGCCUUGCUGCGCAGGGACAUCAUCUAUAUUUUCAAUUUCUUAGAGGACUAUCAUGUAUUUGGCAGCACUGCAGAGGUGCUAGACCUGCUGUAUAGCAAAGUAGCACCCUGACCCUCCACAGCCCAGUGGGAUGGGCCACCUACUGGUUGGGAGUUUGGGAAUGUUUCUGAAGUUGCUGGACCCCAGGGCUGCUCCUCUGACUGGAGUAGAGUCACACAGGGCCUAGUCAGGUCCUGUAGGGAAGCCCCCAGGGCCUGGCCUGUGGCAGGUCGGCUAGAGGGGCUGUGCUUGUGCUCAGCAGUCGUCGUUCUCUCCCCAUGAUGAAGCCUGUGCCGCCUCCCCCACCGUCACCAGGAUCUUUAGCUGGGCUGUUUUCCCAUUGAAAGAGAGGUUUGAGAGUCCAUCGGGGGUUUGUGUCCUGGGGCAACCAGACUGGGGGACCCUGGGGACACCGGGGAGCCCCAGGCCCACUCGGAUUUCGGCCAUGGGCCUGGCCAGAGCCCUUUCAUUCCUCAAGCAUUCAGGAAGCCCCAGCAGGUGCAGGUGCUUCUCCUGGAGCUGCCCGUGGCCCCGUGCACAGAGCUGACGGCCCCCCAGGGCUCUGGACUAGUCAGGUGUCAGAGGGUGACAGCCCCCAUGAUGAGAGGUCGCGUCCACAGGAUGAUUCAUGUGAUGCCCCCCACCCUCCUCUACAUAUGGAUGCAUCGUAGCUGCCUCUGAGGAGAACGACAGAGUCCCGGAGCAGUGGAAAAUGGCCAUCUUCUGCAUCCUGGACAUUUGGCUGGACUGCUAACCAGAGGAUUUUCAUCAGCUCCCAGAAUUUACCUCCCUGACCAAGCUGCUGGCAUUCAUGGGGCAGCACAUGCCAGGCUCAGACCUGGAAAACCAUGCCUGGUAUUACCUCAAACAAUUCAGACACCUCCAUCCAGUGGAGCCAGAGGCUGCGGCUUCGGCUGGAGAACAAUACCCUGAACCACUUCAAGAGCCCGCCCCAGCUCUGAAUGUGGGGCUUGCUGCACCUUCAGGGCCUGAGGUGAUCGAGCCGGUCCUGGUUGCUGGAGCUGAGAGCUUAGCCCGAGCCAAGAUGCCAGCUGCUGAGUCGAAGCCCCUGCAGAUAGUGGUAACUGCUCUAGUUCACUGUUCUGCCCUGGAGGAGCCACCUGCACCCUUGAGAGCCCUGGAGGAUGAACAGGCACCAGCAUCCGCUAUCGAGGUCACCGAUGUGCUGGAGCAGUCACCUAACUCAAUGGAGCAACUGGCUUUGGACCCCGAGCAACACCCUGAAACACCCCAAGAGCCUGCCCCAGCUCCAACUGUGGGGCCUGCUGAAGCUUCAGGGCCUGAAGUGAUCAAGCUGGUCCCGGCUGCUGGAGCUGAGGGCUUGGCCUGUGCCAAGAUGCUGGCUCCUGAGUCCAAAUCAGUGCAUGUGGUGGCCGCACCUCUGAUUCCCUGCCCGGAUGAGGAGGAGCCACCUGCACCCUUGGCCACCCCAGAGGAGGAAUAGGCCCUGGCGCCUGUAAUCGGGUCCCCAAAGUGCCAGAGUCACCACCUGCUCUUGGAGCAACUGGCUUUGACCCCUGAGCAACACCCUGAACCACCUCAAGAGUCCACCCCAGCUCCUACCGCGGGGCUCAUGAUGGCUGCAGCCCAACGGAAGGCUUGCCCUCCCCUGUCAUUGCACUGUUUCUAUAUUUUGUGUUUUUCAUCAACCUCUAUAAUGGCUUAGGAAUUUUAUUUGUAAUAAAGGAUGUUAACUUCACA
rnacentral:lncRNA from 1 species